rnacentral:rRNA from 1 species
GAUGAACGCUGGCGGCGUGCCUAAUACAUGCAAGUCGAGCGAACAGACGAGGAGCUUGCUCCUCUGACGUUAGCGGCGGACGGGUGAGUAACACGUGGAUAACCUACCUAUAAAACUGGGAUAACUUCGGGAAACCGGAGCUAAUACCGGAUAUUAUAUUGAACCGCAUGGUUCAAUAGUGAAAGACGGUUUUGCUGUCACUUAUAGAUGGAUCCGCGCCGCAUUAGCUAGUUGGUAAGGUAACGGCUUACCAAGGCAACGAUGCGUAGCCGACCUGAGAGGGUGAUCGGCCACACUGGAACUGAGACACGGUCCAGACUCCUACGGGAGGCAGCAGUAGGGAAUCUUCCGCAAUGGGCGAAAGCCUGACGGAGCAACGCCGCGUGAGUGAUGAAGGUCUUCGGAUCGUAAAACUCUGUUAUUAGGGAAGAACAAAUGUGUAAGUAACUAUGCACGUCUUGACGGUACCUAAUCAGAAAGCCACGGCUAACUACGUG